GCAAUACCUAGUGGCGGACGGGUGAGUAACGCGUGGGAAUCUGCCUUGAAAUGGGGGAUAGCAAGCCGAAAGGUUUAUUAAUACCGCAUAUGAUUACAUCAAGACAUUUUUGUAAUUGAAAGGAGCAAUCCGUUUCAAGAUGAGCCCGCGUCCGAUUAGCUAGUUGGUAGGGUAACGGCCUACCAAGGCGACGAUCGGUAGGUGGUCUGAGAGGAUGAUCACCCACAAUGGGACUGAGACACGGCCCAUACUCCUACGGGAGGCAGCAGUGGGGAAUUUUGUGCAAUGGGGGAAACCCUGACACAGCGACACCGCGUGAACGAAGAAGCCCUUUGGGGUGUAAAGUUCUGUCGGCUGGAACGAAAACAAUGACGGUACCAGCAAAGGAAGCAUCGGCUAACUACGUGCCAGCAGCCGCGGUAAGACGUAGGAUGCAAGCGUUGUCCGGAUUUAUUGGGCGUAAAGAGUUCGUAGGCGGUUUACUAAGUCUGAUGUUAAAGACCGGGGCCCAACCCUGGGACUGCAUUGGAUACUGGUAGGCUUGAGUGUGGUAGAGGCAAGUGGAAUUCCCAGUGUAGCGGUGAAAUGCGUAGAUAUUGGGAAGAACACCAGUGGCGUAGGCGACUUGCUGGGCCAUAACUGACGCUGAGGAACGAAAGCCAGGGGAGCGAAUGGGAUUAGAUACCCCAGUAGUCCUGGCCGUAAACGAUGGAUACUAGGCGUAGUGGGUAUCGACCCCUACUGUGCCGCAGCU
rnacentral:rRNA from 1 species